GACGUAGGGCGCGAGCGUUGUCCGGAUUUAUUGAGCGUAAAGAGCGUGUAGGCGGCUAGAUAGGUCCGUUGUGAAAACUCGAGGCUCAACCUCGAGACGUCGAUGGAAACCAUCUGGCUAGAGUCCGGAGGAGGAGAGUGGAAUUCCUGGUGUAGCGGUGAAAUGCGCAGAUAUCAGGAAGAACACCCGUGGCGAAGGCGGCUCUCUGGUACGUGACUGACGCUGAGACGCGAAAGCGUGGGGAGCAAACAGG
rnacentral:rRNA from 1 species